rnacentral:lncRNA from 1 species
CAGGGAACAAGGGGCCAGAUGGCAAGCAGACAUGUGCUUAAGGCUGGGUUGAGAACUGCUACUUAAAAGGAUGUUGAAAAUGAAACUGACUCUAAAACCUACUUGAAGCAAACUUCUGGAAGAGAGAGAUCAGAAGCAAGCACCAAAAGGAAGAGGAAUACCACUUAAGAAUGUGAUGCAAAGCAAGUGGGUCUUUCCAAAACUUUUAUCCUGAAACGAAGAAGCAGAUAUCGGAAUGUACUGGAAAAAAAUAGAAAAGGAAGAUCCCUCACCAUCCAUAACAUGACACAUGGAAGAGAAAGGGUUCCUAAGCUUCCAGGUGACCCUGCAACCCCUACUUCAUUCUGGAGUGUCUGGCUCUAGAUAACUUUAAAGAAAAAUCAACCCUUCCUUGGUUGUAUGGCUGUUGUCUUGUUUUUAUUGACAUGACAUCUUCUUUUCUUACUGUUAAGAGCUUUGAAUGUCCCAGUUGUCCAAUGUGACUUAAAUUUGAUGAUGCCUGCCAUGAUGUCAUGUGGUCUAGACUGUACUGCCAUAUAAAG